rnacentral:tRNA from 1 species
AGGAUAAUAGUUAAAAAUAACAUUUAAUUUGCACUUAAAAAAUAUUGAAAUUUCAAUUUAUCUUA